CUCCAGGAAAUCGGCUCAGUGCAAGGAGCUAUGGCGCUGGUGUAAAAACCUCAGUUGCAGUUGUUCUUCAGUGGCUCUUUGGAAAGCUGUGGUUUGUGGUGGGCUAGCUGUGAUAAGCUAUUCUUAUGCAUAUAUCAGACUAUAUUCUUUCAGCAAAGCUGAUCACAGACUCUGCCUCAGCCACCAGAAUUCUUCUGAGCAUCCCUGACCACCGGCUAAACUCAACCAGCGUUGAGGGUCUUCAAAGACAAGAUCACUCUGCUUAUCAAAACCAUCUGCAUGUCGGCGUGUGUGAGUUGAAGGUGCUUGGCUUGCAUUGCCUCCAUUCGUCAAGAGGCAUCAGUCAUGGAAACCAAGUUCACCAGGUGAAAACCAUUCUUGCCACGUCUACAAGGAGGCCAAAGUGAUUACAAGAAAUCAGUGGGACCCAGCCCUGGAGAAUUGAGAUUUGGCAGCACCAAUGUUAAUUAGAAGUCAAUUUCUGAAAUCGCUCAAGAAGAAGUGUCUUUAUUCCCAUCGAGGCACGGAAAGAAAUCAGCACCGUGUCAGUCCAUCAGCCAGUCUCAAUGAAGGAAUCGCCAUUCUCAUGCAGAACAGUCGAAAUAAUUCCCUUGAGUGCAAGGUGAAGACAGUGACUCCCAGCUGGGUGCCCUGAAUACUGCGGGGAUUUCAACGUGGACAGUGAGGAUCCACACAGCCUUUCCUCGCUCCUUUGUGGUGGCAGCACACGGCAGAGGACGCCUGCAGCAGUGUUGUAAUGGGUCCUGCACAGCUUGGGGUCCGCCCUGGUGGCUCUGCUUGCUGCCACCAGCAUGGUACAGCUAUAGGUGUGCAGCAGCAGGUUUCAAACCCCACACAUCUCCUCUAGGGCAGCCAAGAGCGGGUCUUGAGUACUUACCCUGUUCUGCAGCAGCACUUUUCCAAGCUCGGUUUUCAGAGCAGCGUCAACAUCCAUCAGCUUUGGCCGGAUUUUCAUAGAAUAGAUAAUCAUAGAAUCACAGAAUCACCAGGUUGGAAAGGACCCACCGGAUCAUCGAGUCCAGCCAUUCCUAACACUCCCUUAAACCAUGUCCCUAAGCACUUCAUCAACCCAUUCCUUAAACACCUCCAGGGAAGGUGACUCGACCCCCUCCCUGGGCAGCCUCUGACAGUGCCCAAUGACUCUUUCUGUGAAGAAUUUUUUCCUGAUAUCCAACCUGAACCUCCCCUGACGCAGCUUGAGGCCAUUCCCCCUUGUCCUGUCCUCUGUCACUGGGGAGAAGAGCCCAGCUCCCUCCUCUCCACAACCUCCUUUCAGGCAGUUGUAGAGAGCAAUAAGGUCUCCCCUCAGCCUCCUCUUCUCCAGGCUAAACAACCCCAGCUCUCUCAGCUGCUCCUCGUCAGACUUGUUCUCCAGCCCCCUCACCAGCUUUGUUGCUCUUCUCUGGACACUCUCCAGAGCCUCAACAUCCUUCUUGUGGUGAGGGGCCCAGAACUGAACACAGUACUCAAGGUGCGGUCUCACCAGUGCCGAGUACAGAGGGAGAAUCACUUCCCUGGUCCUGCUGGUCACACCGUUUCUGAUACAAGCCAAGAUUCCACUGGCCUUCUUGGCCACCUGGGCACACUGCCGGCUCAUGUUCAGUCACUGUCAACCAUUACCCCCAGGUCCUGCUCCUCCGUGCAGCUCUCAAACUGGUAUUUCACAUUCUUUUGCAGAUUUGGCUAUUUAUAUCACUGCUUUCACGAAAGCUGAACUCAGCAGUGACUCCUUACAUUUGACCCCAGGCUCAUCAAAGCAUGCUACACACUUACAAAUUAAACAAAUGCUAUUUUAAAGCCCAGUCUGGCAAACACUCAGCAGCCAGUUUGAUACUUAUCACUAGGAUUAUCCUAAGUGCCUUCAAGAUUGCUUCCUGAAAAAGCUUUAUUUAUAUAUUGUGAACAACUGUUUGCAUCCAGGCCAGGCAGAAUUACUCUUCUCAGCCUCAGCAGUGGGAAGGAGAAGCAGGAACGACUGUGUUCUUUCUCUGCUUCUUUGAAAGCCUGAAGUGCUCCAAAAGGAAGGUCAGACAAAGCAUUUCUUCACUUUAAUUCCUUUGAGUGGCAUUUCGACUUAACCAGCUGUGUUACAGACUUUUAUUACAAUAGCAGAGUCAGUGCUGGGAAGUUUUGCUCUUGCAUGGUUGGUAGCUCUCGCGCUACAGAGACCUUUUAAGAACGCAGGAGCUUCGGUAGAGAAUUACCUUGAUGUACUCUGGGGCCUCUUUCUGCUGUAAUUCUGCCACUUCCUCCAGCGGUUGGAAAUUAUCUGCAGGGUGUUCCUGCUUGCCAAGUGCUGCCAGGUUUGCUGCUGGGCGAUGUUCUCUGCAGCAUGGCCAACGGUUCACAGUCCCAAUUUGCUCCUGCAGGCACCAGAAAGGUGAUGGGACAUGACAGGAGAGGAGCAAAGCUUUGCCAUACACCUGGCCCAAGUGCAGGAGGUGCAGCACAUUCUGCCACAACAAAGUUCCCUCCGCACCUUUCCAAAACCCCUCUGGAGGUGAGCGGCAUUAGCCCAAAGUACCUCUCCUGGGAAAAUCGCUCUGAAGUGUACGAUUACAGUGGUGGCUGCAGAAUACUGACCUUGUGAACAUUUCAUGAAAUGAAGUGAUGAUAAUUUCCUUACUUUCUCUCUGAUGAGUUUUAGCACAAAUUAUUUCCUUUUUGUUUCUGCUGGGGUAAGGUUUGAGACAAAAAUCUGCAACUGAGUUCUUUUCUUCUUGAGAAAUACCAGCUAAAAAUGUGUUCAACUUGCCACGUGGUUUAUAGACCAACACCACAAGUAGCGAUAGGCAUUGAAAUCUAAUUUCCCAUGGCCUCAGUGAAAUUGUUAUAUAAAUAUAUAUACAUAUAUAACAUUUCACCAUCUGCUGCUUUACAUAAACAGUGUUCAUAUUCCACCUCUGCUGCUUUACAUAAUGGUGUCUCCCAUACAAAUCAUUACUUAUGCGCAGUGUGGGGCACCUGAUGAAGGAGGGACUGUACUUUGAAUUCUCCUCUACCUAAAUACUCCUUCUUUCUAGUGAGGUGGAGAACUUGCAGAGCAGAAACACCUCAUAUUGCAAUAUUGCUGGGUUGUUUCCCUCUUAGCUGCCUUUGUUCUUAACGUAUGCAAACCAGGCAGAUUGUGUUUACUUUGAUAAGCAACUUUACUGCAGGGUCAAGUAGAAAGAGAAGAUUGGCAGGGAAGGAGCAAAUCUUCCUUAAAGAAAAAAGUCUGCAAUCAUUAGCAAAUGUGGCAGGAAAUAGCUGAUAAACAAGUAAAAGGUGAGAAGUGAAAGGUAAGCUUCAGGGCAAUUCAUUAAGACAGUAAAUGAAGAGCAACCCAAAAUUUCUGCAAGCAUUUAACAGAUGGGAGGGUAUUCUGGGAGCAUGGCAUUUGUUCAAGCAGUGAAAUGUGGGAAAUGUGGAUUCUUAAAGGAAUCUUUGGCUUAUUUCUCAGAAACAAACCAUGAGGAAGGCAAGGUAGCAUUCAUAUUUUCUUUGUCUGCAUGCGUUUUUCUGCUGCUUAGAGAGCUUUAAAAAUGAAAGCCUGCUUUUCAAAACUGGAGACCCCACAUUCAACUCUGCUUUUCACCUACAGGCACCAAUACAGUGAUUUAAUUGACCUGCAGUGCAGCAUAUAUGCAGCUGAUGAAGUUUGGAUUCUAGCUUGUAUCCUGCUCUGGAGCAAGAGUCCAGAAGGUUCCUUCUCAUCUCUUUUCAGCCCCUAGGAGACAGCCACCAACUCAUGCUGGUGACUUUUGGGCUCCCUCAGAGCAGAGAAAUUGCAAGGCACCUCCCGAGGCCAAGCAGGAGCUCGGAUGGGCUCCAUAUCCUCCACAGUUCUCGGGGUCAGCAGGGCAAUUGGUUUCAUAGAAUCAUAGAAUAGUUAGGAUAUGAAGGGACAUUAAAGAUCAUCUGGUUCCAAUCCCCCAGUCAUCUAGUUCCAAACCCCCAAGUCGUGAUGGAGAGGUAGGUGGAUAAAAUUCAGGGAGGUGACUCCCUCUAGCCUUUGUCUCUCACUGUCCUGAGAUUCUGUAGAUGGCUGAGCCCACCUGAGGUAUUUGGGCAACCGCAACUGAAAACUUUCCCUUUACGGAUGAAGAAGCUCUGCUUCACAGCAGUGGGGGCAGGCUGGCUGCUUGGCAUCAUUUAAAUCUCUUCUGAAGGCUCCUAAAAGACUCAGCCCUGAGCUGUCUCUGGUGUUUUCUUGCUCCCAACUCCAGGAGAAGACUUGCUUUAGUGACUAUGUAAUCACCUGAAUUUAUAGCCUUUUAAAGACUGAAAUACUCUUGCCUCCUUGGGGGGGUGUUGCUUUAUGAUCAUUAUUGUUAGGGGGCUUGGGAGGGAAGGGCUUGGAAGUGUUCCACCGAGACAGGACUGCCUUCCAUACAUUCAGUUCUUGGUGGGUUUAUUUUUACUUAGGAGGAAGGGACUGAUAUAUGUUACGAGGAGGUGAUGAAUUACCCGGUAUGUCUGAAGCACUGGGGAUUUUCUCAUGUCAGAAUGAUGGGGAUUGAUUUUUCUUGUCUCUUUUUUU